UUCCAAGUUGAAGCCAUUGGAAACACUUGG
rnacentral:piRNA from 1 species